UAUUGCACUCGGUUCGUUGUUGCCAACGUCCGUACAACAACGAACCGUGUGCAGUAGA
rnacentral:pre_miRNA from 1 species